UACGAAGGGGGCGAGCGUUAUUCGGAAUCACUGGGCGUAAAGCGUGCGUAGGCUGUUCGGAAAGUCAGAAGUGAAAGCCCAAGGCUCAACCUUGGAAGCGCUUUUGAAACUACCGAACUAGGAUUUGGGAGAGGAUAGCGGAAUUGUCAGUGUAGCAGUGAAAUGCGUAGAUAUUGACAGGAACACCAGUGGCGCAAGCGGCUAUCUGGACCAACAUCGACGCUGAGGCACGAAAGCGUGGGGAUCAAACAGG
rnacentral:rRNA from 1 species